UCCGAUGGGGCGUAGGUCUUGUCGGACAUCGCUAUUUCCCUGAGCAUACACCUGUUUGAGCGUGGUUUUUGACCAAGCCCUGACUGGGUCCCAUGCGGCGAAAACUCCCGAACCGUGUCAGGUCCUGACGGAAGCAGCACUAAGGGAGACCUUUCGGGCGACGUGGGGGUGCCUGGUCGGGGUUUGGUCAAAGAUCGCGCUUUUUGCAUCUCAGGGCAUUGGU
rnacentral:SRP_RNA from 1 species